GGUUCGAUGCCACGUCGACGGUAGCCACAGUGCAUUGACCGACGAUGCUAUGAUUGAACCAAUAGUGAAUUCUUUUUCGCAUUUUAUAGGAACCUGUGGAUCGAUUUUUCCGUUCGCUCACGGAGCCGUUUUUUGCGAUUACAUUU
rfam:Daucus carota subsp. sativus cultivar DH1 chromosome 6, whole genome shotgun sequence.